AUUGAACGCUGGCGGCAGGCUUAACACAUGCAAGUCGAGCGGAGAUGAGGUGCUUGCACCUUAUCUUAGCGGCGGACGGGUGAGUAAUGCUUAGGAAUCUGCCUAUUAGUGGGGGACAACAUUCCGAAAGGAAUGCUAAUACCGCAUACGCCCUACGGGGGAAAGCAGGGGAUCUUCGGACCUUGCGCUAAUAGAUGAGCCUAAGUCGGAUUAGCUAGUUGGUGGGGUAAAGGCCUACCAAGGCGACGAUCUGUAGCGGGUCUGAGAGGAUGAUCCGCCACACUGGGACGGGAACACGGCCCGGACUCCUACGGGUGGCAGAAGUGGGGAAUAUUGGACAAUGGGGGGAAGCCUGAUCCAGCCAUGCCGCGUGUGUGAAGAAGGCCUUUUGGUUGUAAAGCACUUUAAGCGAGGAGGAGGCUACCUGGAUUAAUACUCUAGGAUAGUGGACGUUACUCGCAGAAUAAGCACCGGCUAACUCUGUGCCAGCAGCCGCCGUAAUAC
rnacentral:rRNA from 1 species